CUCCGGUGAUCCCGCCGGACCCGACUGCUAUCAGAGUGGGACUAAGCCAUGCGAGUCAACAUAGCAAUAUGUGGCAUACGGCUCAGUAACACGUAGUCAACAUGCCCAGGGGACGUGGAUAACCUCGGGAAACUGAGGAUAAACCGCGAUAGGUCAUCACUUCUGGAAUGGGUAAUGACUUAAAUCUAUAUGGCCCCUGGAUUGGACUGCGGCCGAUCAGGCUGUUGGUGAGGUAAUGGCCCACCAAACCUGUAACCGGUACGGGCUCUGAGAGGAGGAGCCCGGAGAUGGGCACUGAGACAAGGGCCCAGGCCCUAUGGGGCGCAGCAGGCGCGAAACCUCUGCAAUAGGCGAAAGCUUGACAGGGUUACUCUGAGUGAUUUCCGUUAAGGAGAUCUUUUGGCACCUCUAAAAAUGGUGCAGAAUAAGGGGUGGGCAAGUCUGGUGUCAGCCGCCGCGGUAAUACCAGCACCCCGAGUGGUCGGGACGUUUAUUGGGCCUAAAGCAUCCGUAGCCGGUUCUACAAGUCUUCCGUUAAAUCCACCUGCUUAACAGAUGGGCUGCGGAAGAUACUAUAGAGCUAGGAGGCGGGAGAGGCAAGCGGUACUCGAUGGGUAGGGGUAAAAUCCGUUGAUCCAUUGAAGACCACCAGUGGCGAAGGCGGCUUGCCAGAACGCGCUCGACGGUGAGGGAUGAAAGCUGGGGGAGCAAACCGGAUUAGAUACCCGGGUAGUCCCAGCCGUAAACGAUGCAGACUCGGUGAUGGGUUGGCUUCGCGCUAACCCAGUGCCGCAGGGAAGCCGUUAAGUCUGCCGCCUGGGUAGUACGGUCGCAAGACUGAAACUUAAAGGGAAUUGGCGGGGGAGCA
rnacentral:rRNA from 1 species